rnacentral:rRNA from 1 species
ACCUGCGGAGGGAUCAUUACCGAGUUUACAACUCCCAAACCCAAUGUGAACGUUACCAAACUGUUGCCUCGGCGGGGUCACGCCCCGGGUGCGUCGCAGCCCCGGAACCAGGCGCCCGCCGGAGGAACCAACCAAACUCUUUCUGUAGUCCCCUCGCGGACGUAUUUCUUACAGCUCUGAGCAAAAAUUCAAAAUGAAUCAAAACUUUCAACAACGGAUCUCUUGGUUCUGGCAUCGAUGAAGAACGCAGCGAAAUGCGAUAAGUAAUGUGAAUUGCAGAAUUCAGUGAAUCAUCGAAUCUUUGAACGCACAUUGCGCCCGCCAGUAUUCUGGCGGGCAUGCCUGUCCGAGCGUCAUUUCAACCCUCGAACCCCUCCGGGGGAUCGGCGUUGGGGAUCGGGACCCCUCACACGGGUGCCGGCCCCGAAAUACAGUGGCGGUCUCGCCGCAGCCUCUCCUGCGCAGUAGUUUGCACAACUCGCACCGGGAGCGCGGCGCGUCCACGUCCGUAAAACACCCAACUUUCUGAAAUGUUGACCUCGGAUCAGGUAGGAAUACCCGCUGAACUUAAGCAUAUCAU